UGGGGAAUAUUGCACAAUAGGCGCAAGCCUGAUGCAGCGACGCCGCGUGGGGGAUGACGGCCUUCGGGUUGUAAACUCCUUUCGCUAGGGACGAAGCUUUUUGUGACGGUACCUAGAUAAGAAGCACCGGCUAACUACGUGCCAGCAGCCGCGGUAAUACGUAGGGUGCGAGCGUUGUCCGGAAUUACUGGGCGUAAAGGGCUCGUAGGUGGUUUGUCGCGUCGUCUGUGAAAUUCCGGGGCUUAACUCCGGGCGUGCAGGCGAUACGGGCAUAACUUGAGUACUGUAGGGGUAACUGGAAUUCCUGGUGUAGCGGUGAAAUGCGCAGAUAUCAGGAGGAACACCGAUGGCGAAGGCAGGUUACUGGGCAGUUACUGACGCUGAGGAGCGAAAGCAUGGGUAGCGAACAGG
rnacentral:rRNA from 1 species